AACGAACGCUGGCGGCGUGCCUAACACAUGCAAGUCGUGCGAGAAAGUUUCCUUCGGGGAGCUAGUAAAGCGGCGCACGGGUGAGUAACACGUAGGUAAUCUACCUCUAAGUCCGGAAUAACCAGCUGAAAGGCUGGCUAAUGCCGGAUAAGACCACGGCCUCUGCGGGGGCCGCGGCCAAAGGUGGCCUCUUCAUGAAAGCUAUUGCUGAGAGAUGAGCCUGCGUACCAUUAGCUAGUUGGUGAGGUAACGGCUCACCAAGGCUGUGAUGGUUAGCUGGUCUGAGAGGAUGACCAGCCACACUGGGACUGAGACACGGCCCAGACUCCUACGGGUGGCAG
rnacentral:rRNA from 1 species